rnacentral:rRNA from 1 species
ACUGCCAGCGACAAGUUGGAGGAAGGAGAGGAUGACGUCAAGUCAUCAUGGCCUUUAUGCCUAGGGCCACACACGUGCAACAAUGGCCGGUACAGACGGAGGCAAUGCCGAGAGGCGGAGCAAACCCGNGAAAACCGGUCCCAGUUCGGAUUGAGGUCUGCAACUCGACCUCAUGAAGUCGGAAUCGCUAGUAAUCGCAUAUCAGAACGAUGCGGUGAAUACGUUCCCGGGCCUUGUACACACCGCCCGUCACACCACGAAAGUUUGUUGUACCCGAAGUCGGUGCCUUAACCUCGCAAGAGGAGAGAGCCGCCCAAGGUAUGGCCGAUGAUUGGGGUGAAGUCGUAACAAGGUAGCCGUAGGGGAACCUGCGGCUGGAUCACCUCCUUUCUAGGAGAGAAGGGUCCUGGAUGAAGCGCUCCUAUUUAGUCUUGUGAAGGAUC